UUUCAGUAAAUUCUAAGCUUUAUUUCUUUCAAUACUUUGAUAAACAAGGAAAUACUGCUAAUAUUCCUGGUUCUGAUGUUUUCACAUGACUAUUGGGGAAAAUAUCAAAAGCAUCAAACAAAAUGUACAUUUAAGUACAAUUCCAAAUACUGUGUAUGAUAUGUUCUUUUUAAGAAACAGAGUCAAUAGAAUAUCAAUAAGUUCCAACUACAUCAACCAUGCCUUUGAGUACAAUGAGGAGAUGAUGACAAAUGGAAUUGGAAAAACAGAUGGCUGACAGUUGCAAUAUAAAACCUGUAAAGUAAGGGAGAUAAUAAUCUCAAAUAGACAUAAGUGGACAAGGAGGG